rnacentral:rRNA from 1 species
CCUACGGGAGGCUGCAGUGGGGGAUAUUGGACAAUGGGGGGAACCCUGAUGCAGCGACGCCGCGUGGGUGAAGAAGUGUUUCGGUACGUAAAGCUCUAUCAGCAGGGAAGAAAAUGACGGUACCUGACUAAGAAGCCCCGGCUAACUACGUGCCAGCAGCCGCGGUAAUACGUAGGGGGCAAGCGUUAUCCGGAUUUACUGGGUGUAAAGGGGGCGCAGACGGGGCAGCAAGCCGGAAGUGAAAGGCCGGGGCCCAACCCCGGGACUGCAUUGGAAACUGUGGAGCUGGAGUGCAGGAGGGGCAGGCGGAAUUCCUGGUGUAGCGGUGAAAUGCGUAGAUAUUAGGAGGAACACCAGUGGCGAAGGCGGCCUACUGGACUGCAACUGACGUUGAGGCCCGAAAGCGUGGGGAGCAAACAGGAUUAGAUACCCCUGUAGUC